UACGUAGGGGGCAAGCGUUGUCCGGAUUUAUUGGGCGUAAAGAGCGUGUAGGCGGCCGUACAGGUCAGCUGUGAAAACUCGAGGCUCAACCUCGAGACGUCGGUUGAAACCGUACGGCUAGAGUCCGGAAGAGGAGAGUGGAAUUCCCGGUGUAGCGGUGAAAUGCGCAGAUAUCGGGAAGAACACCCGUGGCGAAGGCGGCUCUCUGGGACGGUACUGACGCUGAGACGCGAAAAGCGUGGGGGAGCAAACAGGG
rnacentral:rRNA from 1 species